UACGAAGGGGGCUAGCGUUGCUCGGAAUUACUGGGCGUAAAGGGCGCGUAGGCGGGUGUUUAAGUCAGAGGUCAAAUCCCGGGGCUCAACCUCGGAACUGCCUUUGAUACUGGACACCUAGAGUAUGGGAGAGGUGAGUGGAACUCCGAGUGUAGAGGUGAAAUUCGUAGAUAUUCGGAAGAACACCAGUGGCGAAGGCGACUCACUGGCCCAUUACUGACGCUGAGGCGCGAAAGCGUGGGGAGCAAACAGG
rnacentral:rRNA from 1 species